UACGUAGGGUGCAAGCGUUGUCCGGAAUUAUUGGGCGUAAAGAGCUCGUAGGCGGUUUGUCGCGUCUGCUGUGAAAACUCGGGGCUUAACCCCGGGCCUGCAGUGGGUACGGGCAGACUAGAGUGCGGUAGGGGAGACUGGAAUUCCUGGUGUAGCGGUGAAAUGCGCAGAUAUCAGGAGGAACACCGGUGGCGAAGGCGACUCACUGGCCCGAUACUGACGCUGAGGCGCGAAAGCGUGGGGAGCAAACAGG
rnacentral:rRNA from 1 species